CUGAGGACGGGCCCCUUAAGGAAACAAUGAGGCCGGGCGUGGGCGGGAAGGGAGGAGAGAGUGAGGGCAAAUCUUCACCUUUACGCACACUGUACAGCUUUAAGAGGACGACCAACACCUAAACCAACACUUCCUGACUUAAUUCUUGUUUGGAUGAGAAGGUGGAGUGUUGAGAGAAACAGAUAGAUGGAUGGAUGGGUAAGAAAAGGGGUGGAAGAGAGAAAUUAAAGUGGAAAUGCAUAAUGAGGGGGGGAGAGAUUUAGGAAAGAGGGUAAGGAAUGAGGGAAGAGGAAAUUAGAGGUAAAGGAGGGAAAAAGAAGGGAGCAGAGUCGAAUGAGGAGGAGAUGGAGGUCGAUAGUUGCAUAGACAUAGAUAGAUAGAUAUAGAUAAAUAGAUAGGUAGAAUAAUAGAAAGAGUGUAAUGCAACAAAUCCUGGUUAACAAUCGUCUUCACAAUAACAAACAUAAUCUUUAGUGUGGAAGAGAAUUAAGAUAAAAAUUUGUGGGUUGAGUGCUAGCCGGGAAGCAUUUUUUUAUUUUUUUCACUUUGCCUCGAAUUGUUCCUGUAAUGGCGAGGUUAAUGUUGCCUCGAGAUGGAUUUCGGGCAAUAACUUACUCAUUAAUCAGACCAAACGACUUGCACGUCUCAGGAGCGAGGAAAACAUGACAGGGCACUCAAUCUCCCUACCACGAGAAUGAUGGAAAAUUAGAGCAACGAAAAAAUCUUAAAUACGGUUAUAUACUUGGAGUUAGCAGGAGGGAGAGAUGGAAAGACAAGUAAGAUGAUGAUGAGGAAAGAGGUAAAUAAAUGAGAAGGCAGGAGGGAAGUACUGAGGAGAUGCGAGAGGAGGAAUACAGAAGAAAAAGUGGGGAAAAAAAUGCUUAAAGAAAAAAUAGGUAGCUUGUCAUCAUCAAAAGGAAAAACUGUGUGGUAAAAAAACUUUCCUCACCACAUUAUAAUACCGGUGAAAAAUUAAAGUGGAAAAUAAGGUUCAAGUUGGCAUUCAAGAGCUUCAAGCGUUUAAGAUUAAGAUUAAGCAAAAACUCGCUCGAAACUUUUAAACGUGGGAAAAUUUACGACUAAGAAUGCAUCAACUUUCUUUCCACAUAAAACCGAUGAAUCACUAACAAGUUGAUGAGCGUGAAUAUAAACACAGGUAAGUGACCCUUGAUGAAGACCCCUUAAUAACCUAUGCCCGGCCUGGCGUGACCUGAGGAGGAAGAGGGAGGGAAAAGGAGAGGGAGAUGGAGAGGGAGAGAGGGAAAGGAGAGAGGGAGAGGAAGAGAGGGAAAGGGAGAGAGGGAGAGGAAGAGAGGCAAAGGGAGAAAAGAAAAGGAGAGGAAGGGAGAAGAGUGGGUGAGAUGAUUUAAAAGGGAGGGAAGUUGGAGUAGGCAGGUAGGCGGAAAGGAAAUAAAAGGAAAAUGAUGAGGAGGAAAGAGGUAAAUAAAUGAGAAGAUAGGAGAAAGGUAUGGAGGUGAGGGGGGAGGAAGAAAGGGAGAGGAAGGGAGAAAGACCGACGAAAAGGGUGGAAGAGAUAAAUGAAAAUAUAUAUGCAUAAUGAAAGGGAGAGGGAGGUGUAAAGAGAAUAAAAAAUGAGAAAUUAAAGAGAAAAAGAGGAGGAAGAGGAAACUAAAGGUUGAAGGAGGAGGAAGGGAUGAUAAGAUAUGAAUGAGAAGAAAGAUGAGAAAGAAAGGAAGAGGAUAAUAGAAAAUAGAUAUGAAGAACAAGAUUAGAGAAGGGAGAAAGGAGUAGAGAAAGAGGUAAAAGGGAGGAUGAUAAGAGAGAAAAUAUAAAGAAAAAGAUAUGGGGAGGAGUAAUGAGCAGAGAAAGAGAUUUGAAGGAGAAAGAUGAAAAGAAAGGAAGAAUAAAGAAGAAUAAAGGAUAUGGAAUGAGCAGAGAAAGAGAUUUGAAGGAGGAGGAUGAGAGGAAAGGAAAAAUAAAGAAGAAUAACGGAUAUGUAAUGAGCAAAGAAAGCGAUUUGUGGGAGAAAGAUGAGAAUAAAGAAAGAAUAAAGAAGAAUAAAGAAAGAUAUGAGAGGAUAAAUUAAGAACACAUAAACAAGAGAAGAUAGGGAAGCGUGAGGAGGAGGAAAGAAGACGGGGAGUGGGUGGGUGGAGGGGGAGGAUAGUAGAUCACCCAGCAACACCACCUCUCUAGCUGGACAUCAAAAUACCUUCCAACCCCCCCCCACCCUGAAAACCCUCCCAGUCAGCAAUGCCUCUUGUAGCUGGUCUUACGUCUUGGCAGCAGCGGCCAUUCGUUCCUCGCCUUAAACACCAGACUUCGCUAAACACGAUUAUGAAGAGGCGGUGGGCGUGUGGGGCGCUGAGAAGAGGAGGAGAAGGAGGAGAGGGAUAAUGAGGAAGAAGAACAAGAGGAGGAGAAGGUGGAGGUGGAGGUGGAGGGGUGGUAGCUCUGGUUAAAGAAAAAAUAUGAUGACUGGCAGCUUUUUGUGGGAAUGGAAGUGAAGAAGAGGAGGAUGAAAGACUGGAGGUAGAGGAAAGUGGAAGAGGGAGGGAAGAGAAAAGAGGACUGGGGAGGAGAAAGAGAAAACUAAUGGGAGAGAAAAUGGGCGUGUUAGUGAAGGAAGAGGUGGAUGGAAGACUAGCGAUGGAAUGAAAGAGGAAGGGGAGAAAGAAGAGGGAGAGGGAGGAGAAAGAGAGGAGGAAGGGGAGGGAGAAGAGGGUUGGGGAGAUUAAAGGAGAACUAAGAAUAAGGAAAAAAGUCUGGAAGAGGAAGAAAAAGGAGAAGAGAGGUGGAGAAAUAAAGGGGAUUUAAGAAUAAGGAAAUAAGUCAGUUAGAGGAAGAGAAAGGAGAAGAGAGGUGGGGAAAUAAAGGAGAACUAAGAAUAAUGAGAAUGGAAAACUGAUAAAGGGAGAAGAAGAAGAAGAGAGGUGGGGAAAAUGAAGAGAAAACCAAGGAUAAGGAAAAUGAAAGCUUAGAAGAGGAAGGGGAGGAAGAAGAGAGGUGGAGGUAUGAAAGGAGAGGCAAGGGUAAGAAGAAUGGAAAACUCGAAAAGGAAGAGAAAGGAGAGGAGAAGUGGGGAAAUGGAAUAAAGAACAGAGGGAAAGGAAAAUGGAAGACUGGAAAAGAGAAAAGAAAAGAGAAAUGGGGAAAUAAAAGAAGAAUGAAGAUUGGAAAGAAUGGAAAACUCGAUAAGGAAGAGAAAGGAGAGGAGAAGUGGGGAAAUGGAAUAAAGAACAGAGGGUAAGGAAAAUGAAAGACUGGUAUAGGAAGAGAAAACAGAAUUGGGGAAGUGAAAGGAGAAAUAAGAGUAAGGAGAAUGGAAGACAGGAAGAGGAAAAGAAAGGAAAAGAGGGAUAGGGAAAAAAAAAAGAAAAAUCAAGAGAAUGGAAAAUAGAAUACUGGAAAAGAAAGAGAGAAGAAAAGAGAGAUGGAGAAAUAAAGAAGAGAGAGAAAUAAGGAUAAGGAAGAUGGAGAGAAAGAAUAAGAGAAAUGGGAAAAUAAAAGAAAAAUCAAGAGAAAGGAAAAUAGAAGACUGAAAAAGGAAGAGAGAAUAAAACAGAAUUGGGGAAAUAAAGAAGAGAGAGAAAUAAGGGUAAGGAAGAUGGAGAGAAAGGAGGAAUAAUUAGUACUAGUUGGGUAGAGGAGAGAAGAGGAGGAGGAGGAGGAGAGAGAGUGAAAGGACAGGUGUGGGCGGCAGGGGGGGGGGGGCAUCCCUAAGCGUCAGCCACUAACUCAGGUAAUUACUCCUCGCCCCCCACCCCCCUUCUCCCCUCGGCUCCUCACCUGGGCCAGAAAACUCGCGGGAAAUUCAACUUGGCGGGAUGUAAGUUCGGGCAAAAAAGUUAUGUGAUCAAAGGUGUGGGAGACUAUAAGGUGCCUCACACACACACACACACACACGCACACACACACACACACACACAUAUGACGUAUAUACCCCUCACCCCUCAAAAACCAAGCAUAUCCACCACGUAAGUAAAAAGUAUAUAGCCAUAACCAAUUAUUAUGAAGAAAAGAAUGACAAAAAGUGGGAAAAAUGAAUCCAAGAAAUUAACAGAAAAUCACAACACAAACACAAAACAAACAGAAAAACACAUAACAAACCCUAGAAAUUAACAGAGAAUCACAACACAAACAGAAAAAAGGAAACAGAAAAAGCAAAGAAUAAAACAUAAACAAACAAAAUGCACCAAAGAAUAACAAAAGAAAGACCAAAAACUUACCCAAAAAGUCAAACAGAAAAUUGAGACAUGAAGAGCAAGAGGGGGGGGGAGAGAGAGAGAGAGAGAGAGAGAGAGAGAGAGAGAGAGAGAGAGAGAGAGAGAGAGAGAGAGAGAGAGAGAGAGAGAGA